rnacentral:rRNA from 1 species
ACGCGUAUGAAGGUCACGCUGAAAGACUUUACCCAAUGACGUAAGUGGUGGUGCAUGGCCGUUCGUGGUUCGUGGAUUGAUUUGUCUGGUUAAUUCCGAUAACGAGCGAGACCCUAUCGUUCUAAAUACGGGGGCACAGCCCGACCGGUCGAAAGGCCGGUUAGCUACGCCUUAACUCGUAUGCUUCUUAGACGUAUCAUGGCCGACAAGGUCAUUGAAAUGGGUUAAUAACAGGUCAGUGAUGCCCUUAGAUGUUCUGGGCCGCACGCGCGUUACAAUGGCACGUAAAGCGCGUGCUCCAGGUCGAGCAUAACCGUGGUUUUGCGGCCACGGCAAUCCAUAAAACCUGCCUUGACUGGGGUAGGCAAUUGGAACUAUUGGUCUUAAACGAGGAAUUUUUAGUGAUAGCCAGGUCAUUAACCUGCGCUGA